GCAAUUAAAAAAUGAAACUCUUGUCGUCUCCAGCACGGAAUGCUUGAUAUUUAUAUAAUAAUAUGUGUGCGGAGGUUUGAAAUUCAUUGCGAAUGGCGAGUGAGCAAAACAAUAUCCGCUGAGGAGAAGAGGAAAGAAGAGCUGCACUUGGCUGCCUUUAGUGCACGAGAGAAAUCUGCUGUACGCACUACAUUGCCUGCGAGUUAUCCCACUUUGGCCGUGAAGCAGUUUCAAAUAACAAGGCCAUUGAACCAGCAUGAAUUUUAUACACAUCUAUAUCAUGCAAUUCAGCCACCGUUUCAUUCCUCGCUCCAGCAGACACGAUUGAUUUCGCGUUGGCAUUCUUCGUCGUUCAUAAAUUUGAAAUCGGAUGAAUUUUAUUUUAUUAUACAUCAGCUGGUGAUCGUAAUCAAGUGGUUCGUUGGUGCGUCUGACUGUGCUUAGAGGCAAAAGGAGAAAAUGGUAAUUUGGUUCACAGUCCACUUCGCUUCUAGACGCACAAAUAAUUAGUGCAAUAAUUUUUAGAUGAAAUAUUCGAAUCAGCGACCAAAAAGAGCUCUAAUGGUUAAAAGCUAAUAAUGGAAUAUGCGGAAUACAAAUUUAUUUUCUUUUGCAAAUAGCUGUAAAUUUAAAAUAAAAGAAUAUUAAAUCAAUUAAAUGAAACAAGAUAUUAAUUCGCCUUUCAAAUUUGAAUUCAUGGAAAGAAGUUAUUGUUGAAGAAAAAAAAGGUCCAUCUUUUUUAAAAAACAAGCUAUAUUAUAUUGACACUAUUAUCAUUUCAUGCCUUAUCUGUGAGCUUUUGAGAGCUUUACGGAGGUAAGCAGCACUUCUCGGCUAGUCAGCACAUUUAGUUGAAAAUCGCGAGCGUUGCAAAUAAGGAGAGAAGAUUUAUUGUUCUCUCUUCUCGCGCGCGCUCCUCUCUUGGAGCAGCCACUCGAUCCCAACACGACUGCGAGGAGCGGCUGCGGCAAUUCAGGAUUAUCAGCAACUAAAUAUAGACACUUAUCCGUGCACAGCCUAAAGUUUUGAAACCGACUUGCACAAAGAUAAUGAUUGCGAGAAAAUGACGGCUCUAUUAGCGAAAAUCAUAGGCGUGGUGACGACACGCUUUAAUCAGACGCGCUUGCCGAAAGAUUUUCAAUGAUUGAUGCGUUGCUGUCUCUAAAACGCAAAACAAAACAACUGACAAUUUAACUGUUGAUCGUUGAGGCUGUGAGAUAUGUGGGCGUUUAUGAAAACAAAAAUAAAAUAUGCUAGGCACAUUUCAGACUCAGUAGCCCUAUUCUAAAUUAUUAGAUGAACUAAAUAAAUAAUUUAAUCCUAAUUAUGUAUUGAAAUUUUAUUCCGUAAUUUAAUUAAAGAAUUUGUGGUUCUGAUAUACAAUAUUAUUAAGGUAUAGUUGUAAUUUAUAAAAAAAAAUCACAAUGCAUAUGUGCAUGUUCAUGACAAUGUUUAUUUUUAUUUCCAAUAAAGGUUUUAUCCGUCCUUAUCCGCUGAGCCACACUCUUGUGCCAUUAAAAUUGUAGUUAGUUCUAGUAUUAUUAAAUGAUGUCAACGUAAACAAAUAGUGAUGGCCAAGUUCGGCGAAAAGGAGGUCGCAUCCGGAGCUAAACUAUUUGCCUGAUUCCUGAUGGCUCCGUGUUCUUUCCUUUUUGACAAAAAAGAGAUGCUGUUUAACCGGUUCAAUACUUUAUACAGCGCAUAUUAACUUCUCGUUUAGAGACGCUAGUCCCGCACAUGUGUGUGUUUGCAAGCCAGUCAAUUGAAGAACAUUUGAAUUCAGGUCUUCAAGACAUAGAGGCGCAAAAAGAGCCAUAAUAAUUACAAAGAGGACGUGCAAAUUGCUGUUCAUUAUUCAAGCUGAGAGAUUGCUUCAGAGUCAAUUUUGUUUUGAUUUCUGAGGUUGAUGGAUGAGACAAUUUUAUUUGUUUUUCUGGCCUACUUAAAAUUUAAUUUUUUACUCUGCAAAUACACACACGGCGAAGUAAUUUUAUAGCUUAUGUGGAUGAAAAUUAAACUAAACGUUGGCAAAGUAUGAUUAUUUUAAGUUUUCAUCCGUCACCAGCCAAAUGAUUCUUUUAAAUUUAGCAUUAAAUGUUAUAAACUUGCAACGAUUCAGAAUUAACAACUCUUUUAUGCUUAUAAACAUAUGGCGAAGGAGAGAAAACUCAAAGAAGAACAAUCAAAUUAAUUAUAGUCGCAUGCUGCAUAGCCUUGCCUUAUAGUGAGCGAGUAAAAAGCUGUGAUGUGUUUAGUUUCCUUUCCUUACUCAGAAUUAACAAAGGGCUUAUCUCAUUGCUCUAACAGCAACGGAAUAAAAUGCUCGCGUGCUUCCUCUUCAAAUAUGUCACUCUUACAGCUGAGGUGCUAUAAAAUCCAAAUCGCUGCGUGCAAAACACUUGUCCUAAUUGACAGUUUUCAUUAUGUAACCACGCAGAGAAGCAGCCGCGAGAGAUUCUAAUUUAUGGCCUAGAUAUUGGUGAUUUAGCCUGAAGCAUUUUUUCUAAUUUUUUUGAGACAAUUUAAUGUUGGCCGUAAAGGAUGAGGGAAGAACUGGAGCCUUUAUAUUAUUGAAAAAUGUAUGCCUAUUUUUUAUUAACUAGAAGAACAAUUUAUAGAUGAAAAAGUCUUGAUUUUAAUACAUCAAACUGCAACACCUGAAAAUUCUUCAACAAACAAAAGAAUUUUAUUCCGGGAGAGCUUAUAUAUUAAACACUGAACCGGUCCAAUUUAUUAAAAGCACUCUCUUCCCUGAGCAACUUCAAGUUACCAUAUUUAAACACGCAAAAAUAUAUUUGGCUGAAAUCGGACUAAUUUAUUCAGCAGGCCUUUCCUUUCGUUUGGCGAAAGCAGCAGCAAAAUCUGCUGUCCCGAUGCCCACCCCGGCCGUUUUUGCCAAUGCGCGAAUAAUUUUCUUGACCUGGAUUUCGUUGGCAAAUCUACGUCCCUCCGUCGUGUUGUUUUUGUAUGAAUGGAGUGGCAGAAAUUCGCUGCCAAAUAUGGGCAUGCAAACAGCCGCGCAGCUGCAUGUGUUCCCCGCAGCAGCCCCACUUAAUUUGACAUGACCCCUGACUGCUCCCCUCGCCCUAUGCACGCCCGUUGCUGAUGGUGUGCAGGCCUGUAUAUUAUGCUGCUGGGUUUUUUUACUAUGAAUGUGUGUCAUCUGACAAUGAGUGUGUGCGUGUGUGCGUCUGCUGACUUCUCAGACAAACAGCAUGAUUAAUACCGCGGAGCUUUGACUUUUUGUCCCUUUCAAAUAAAGCUGACGAAUGGAGCAGAUUUUUUGUUUAAUUUUAAAGGGGAGGAUGCAAAAUAUGAAGGGUUGAGUGUUUGCGUCAACUGGAGAUUGACGUAAACGCGUUUUUCUUAAAAAAAUCCCAUUAAUAUAAAGAAUUAAAUAAUAAAAACUAAAAAGGCCGUGGAAUUUUACACUGAGAUUAUUGCUAUUUCUGAAAACAACAAACCUUUUAGCAGUACGGUUCAACCUUUGAAAGCUUGGCAAUUUUAACGAUUUUUUAAAAUUAAAUAAAAUACUUUAAAAUUUUAUAUAAUAAUAUAAUUAAUUUUUAAAUAAAACAUUCCAAAAUUUUAAAUUAUUUUAGAGUAAAAUAAAGCACAAAUAAUAAUUCCUGUCAAUAAUACUUUGUAAUGAUUUGAAUGAUUAUAUUCACCUCAUGCAUUAAUUUCUCUUCGCCACACAAAAGCAAUUCACGAAACAAACAAAAACUCUUUGUCCAAGAUAUAUUGGCAAGCAUAUGGGCCGUGGAAUUGCAAUUUCCCAUCAUAACGACUGCUGCAGCUUUCACAAAAUCAAAUUUGGUAAUGCGACCGUCUCUCGCAUGUGUAGCAGCCACAAUUAAAGCCUCACGGCGUGCGUAUACACGAAAUUGGCAGAGUCGAUUCGACGCACCAUUUAUAGACGAUGACCGGUGAUGAAAAAGUAAAACGGCCUACCAAAACGGGCAUAUGACUGCAGGAGAGCGAAAAGCGAUAAUUAAUCAUCAAGCGCCACGUUUUGCGCAAUGUGACACAAACUUGCGAAUUGAAAAAAAAAAUAAUAAGUGGUGGUGGCAUGGUGUCAAAUAAAGCUAUUUUGCAUGCCAGUUGAGAGUGAUGGCCUGCGGCGAACAUUCCCGCAUCCAUAUGGACCUGGCCAUUAAAGGUUCACAGCCACGUUUUACCAUAUUUGUCCUCCACUCUGCCACUGAGUGAGAGUGUAUUGGCCUACUCUCCUAUUCAAAAUCAACUGGGCGGUGGCGGCCAUUCGCGUAUGACUUUUCAAAAGUUUGGUAAAAAGAUAUUCUGGAUUUUUUUUCUUUUGUUUGAAAAUGUUUAUUUUUAGAUUUUGGCAAUUACCAUAUGUCGUGUCACCACGACAGGGGCUAAUUAGUAUUAAUCAUUGAACACCUAAAACUAAUGAAGAGCGGAGCUGGAGCCGAGCGCCGCCUUAAUUUGCAGACUGGAGUUUGAUAUUUAAUAGGCUUCUCCUGUGUCCCCCUUGGCCCCCUUGUGCAUUUCAUCCCCCAUGUGACUUCAAACUUAUCUCUUAAUAUCUCUUUAAUCCUUUAAUUAAAUAGCCCGAGCACUCCUUAAAUGGCUUGGACUAAAGUUACUUUUAUUUAUUAUGACUUUAGUUUUGACUAGGUUUGAGUUUAUAAUUAAAAGCAAUUAAUUAAAGUUAAGAAUUAAAGUUAAAGUUAUUAUUAAAUAAAGAGAGAACAAAAUACAAAAUAUGGCCAAAUAGGAUUCGGAAAAGCUAGUCUGAUCUUACUAAGCUGAGGAAACAGUGGAAAAGCGAUCAUUACCGAUUGAUUGGGAACUUGGUAAAACGUGGUCGCCAUUAACCGAAUUGGCUGAAGAUAGGACAGGGUGUUGUCUGCGUUUCGGGCGUCGCUCGUCUGAGGCUCUCAGGCACGGAGAGCCGGCUUCGAGGCUCGACCGUGGGUCUGAUUGGGCCCUGAGGUGGCGCGCGCCGAUCGGUCUUCUCAGGUUGGCUGAAGGGUCCACGCCAUCAGGGAAAGGUCGGCGGGAGAUUCGGAAAAGCGCGCGCGUUGCUUGCUCGGAAUGAAGUUAAGUUUCCUUUAUAUGAAAAGCUAUGGCCAUGGGCUAACCUUACUCGCAGAGACAAUAAUUGAUACAAAUAUUUAUUAUUCUGUUCGACAAUAUUUCGCGAGUGUGUGUCACCACAGACUGCCCCCCCUUCAACUUGGACGCGCCCUCGCGUCCAUCAAGCUGAAGACUGGUGGUGGCUUGGUGUCCGGUGUGGUGGUUUGGGGCUUGGCAGGGCGCCUCUGGUGUCGUACUGCUCGUGGUUGCGCUGGGCCAAGGCAGGCAGUUGGUGUUUGCGAGAGAUAGGUCAUCUCUGCUUGGCUUCUCAGAGGUUGGAAUUGGUGUUCAGGUGUGUUUUUGGCAACUGUGAAUUCAGGCAAAAUGAAUAACAAGUUGGAAUUAUCUUAACCUAUUAUUUGUUUCGAGCGGUAUCAUUUGCUGUGGUUUUGCUAAAUUUUUACAUUUUGAGAUUAAUUUUAAUUUUUUUUAGAUUACAGUAAAUUUUUAAUUUUAGCGUUACAUGUGAAUCUUUGAACCUUGUCAAAUUUCAAAAAUUUUCCUGUGACAACAUGAAAUCAUUUUCAUUUUACAUUUUGGUUGGAUUGCAACUGGAAUUUAAUUUUAAUUUACACUUCAUUACACUUUCACGUUUUGGAGCUCGGAAUGAUUGGUUGACUUGUUUAGAAGUUCUUAUGCUGUGCGGCGGCCAGAGGCCACGGCCUCGGCUGGAGUCACUGGACUUGGUGUGUCUGAUGGCCAUGCUCGUUUGUUUGUUUACGUGGCCAGCUGUGUUCUGUUGUUGUCUCUCAGCUUGCGAGAGUCGCGUUUCUGGUUGGCUGGAACUUUGCAGGCUGGCGAAUGGGAUUCGAGCUUGGAGUCACGUGACUGGUGCAUGGAGAAGGUCACUUGCACUUUCACUUCACAAAUGUCAACAACUUGGGCUUUUGCUGCUGAUUUAGCACUUGUCUUGGUUGGCGAGCGGACUUGAAUGAUGAUGGUGCGAAAACAAGCGGAUUUCCCGGUCUUGAAGAACUGUGCACAGGCACAGUGCGAUUCUUGCGAAGCUGCGGAGAUAUUUUGCGAGGAAUUUCAACAGCAGUUACAUAAUAGUGAGUGAGACGAAGAUGUCGGUUCUUCUCCUGCCGAGGGCUAGUUGUGUUUCUUCUUGCGGAGCGGCUGGCUUCCAACUUGGUCCACUGAUGGAACUGGAUGUUGCGCUUGGGCUGCCACUGGAAGUGGGUCUUGUGGUCCGGACAGUGGACGGUGGUACUUGUGCUGCGCAGUAGUGGUGAGACCAACUUGGACUGUCACUGGCCUUGUGUCAGUCCUAGUCAGUGCUGAAGUUCCGUCGAGGGCGCCAUGACUGGUCGUUUGUCGACCCAUCUUGCAGACCAGCUGAAGGUGGAGUCGGACAACUCGCAGAGCAAGGUGGCUUUUAUCUGCCACGGAGUGGACGGCGAAUUCUGAUGCUGUUGGCAGCGAGACAUCUGCAGUCCUGGCUGGGCAGAGGCUGGAGAGGUCUGCUGUCGGUGAGUGAUGUACACCUGAGCAAUGAAAUGCUCCCAUCUGCUGAAAACUGGAGUACUGGCAAAAGGGAGGGAUUCACAACAAUUGUGUAAAGAUGUCACUUUUCGAUUGCCAUUCAGGUGCAGCCUUAUGGCGGAGGUUUUGCUUUGCAUUUGUUUUCAGAGUACAUUUAUAUACAAUGGUGAAACAAUCAUGAAAGUUGUUAUUUUUUUAUACACUUAUAUAAUACAAAAUUAAAAUGUGCAAUUCCUUCAAAAGUUUUAAAUAGCCACAACAAUAAAAUAAAUUGGCACCUUUUAUCCAAGCUUUUGUACAGCUUUUGUAAUUAAAUGCUCACACCGUAGAGCUUUCCCUUAAUUUUAACUUGACUGCUACCCUUUCCCAAUGACAGUCUGCCUUUACUUUUGCUUGAAUUAAAGUUUCCAAGUAAAAGUCGGGUAUACUUAUCAGUAACAGCUCAUCUUCUAAAACCGUGCAGCGCCGAGAAUGACGUCGCGGCGCAAUCUCGAAGAGGUGAGCGUUCGCCUAUGAUCGUCUCGUUUUGUCUCGAUGCUGGACACUGAAUCCGCUAAGCGCUGGCCCUGCAGAAGCCAACGCCGCUGGGUGGAUGCCUUUUCUAUGGACGCUUGUUGGUCACUGGCCUUCCUGUGUUCGUUGAGGUUCCUUUCUGGUUUGCGCCGCUGGUGGACGAGGAAUGUGAGGCCGUACCGGAGGUGAUUAAUUGGAAAAAAAAAUCACCCCGCACCCUGACACCAAAUCUGUCGUGUCACCACGACAGGGGCUAAUUAGUAUUAAUCAUUGAACACCUAAAACUAAUGAAGAGCGGAGCUGGAGCCGAGCGCCGCCUUAAUUUGCAGACUGGAGUUUGAUAUUUAAUAGGCUUCUCCUGUGUCCCCCUUGGCCCCCUUGUGCAUUUCAUCCCCCAUGUGACUUCAAACUUAUCUCUUAAUAUCUCUUUAAUCCUUUAAUUAAAUAGCCCGAGCACUCCUUAAAUGGCUUGGACUAAAGUUACUUUUAUUUAUUAUGACUUUAGUUUUGACUAGGUUUGAGUUUAUAAUUAAAAGCAAUUAAUUAAAGUUAAGAAUUAAAGUUAAAGUUAUUAUUAAAUAAAGAGAGAACAAAAUACAAAAUAUGGCCAAAUAGGAUUCGGAAAAGCUAGUCUGAUCUUACUAAGCUGAGGAAACAGUGGAAAAGCGAUCAUUACCGAUUGAUUGGGAACUUGGUAAAACGUGGUCGCCAUUAACCGAAUUGGCUGAAGAUAGGACAGGGUGUUGUCUGCGUUUCGGGCGUCGCUCGUCUGAGGCUCUCAGGCACGGAGAGCCGGCUUCGAGGCUCGACCGUGGGUCUGAUUGGGCCCUGAGGUGGCGCGCGCCGAUCGGUCUUCUCAGGUUGGCUGAAGGGUCCACGCCAUCAGGGAAAGGUCGGCGGGAGAUUCGGAAAAGCGCGCGCGUUGCUUGCUCGGAAUGAAGUUAAGUUUCCUUUAUAUGAAAAGCUAUGGCCAUGGGCUAACCUUACUCGCAGAGACAAUAAUUGAUACAAAUAUUUAUUAUUCUGUUCGACAAUAUUUCGCGAGUGUGUGUCACCACACCAUAUUUAUAUAGCCGGCGCUCCUCAGGCAAGUUUUCUGUCAGUUUGUUUGGAGAUCUGAAAAUGGACAUCCUGCCGCUGUCAUUCAAUUAAGCUCGCUGUUGCUUUAUUUGUCUCUCGCAGUCAUUCGGGCAUUGUGUGCGCGGGGACACUUCUUUUCGUUUAUGCAAAUGCAGUCGAGUGGGUACAGCCAUUAUUUUGCCCUUUUUCAGAGAAAAACCAACCGACGUGAUUUGUGUGAAGAUAGUAUCUCUCCAAACAAAACGCGUGUGCCAUGCAAAAUGUGGAAGUUUUCACUUUCAAAAAAGUCUGACAAGUGUACUACUCUUUUGGUUUAAUUAUUUUAAAUUUCAAUUUCUUAUUUUCAUGAUCAAUUACUGAGAGUAUUUAAAUUUCCUCAAAGAUGAAAUGAAUAACUGAAUGACGUAAUAUUUUUUCUAGAUACAGAUUAGAUUAUGGAUCAAGAAUGAACUUAAUUAUAUUCUAGAUUUUUUAAGUGUAUACAUUACAUAUUUUUUGCAGCAAAUACAAAUUU